UACGGAGGGUGCAAGCGUUGUCCGGAUUUAUUGGGUUUAAAGGGUGCGUAGGCGGUCUUUUAAGUCAGUGGUGAAAUCCUCCAGCUUAACUGGAGAACUGCCAUUGAUACUGAGAGACUUGAGUAUAGUUGAGGUAGGCGGAAUUGACGGUGUAGCGGUGAAAUGCAUAGAUAUCGUCAAGAACCCCGAUUGCGAAGGCAGCUUACUAAACUAUAACUGACGCUGAGGCACGAAAGUGCGGGGAUCAAACAGG
rnacentral:rRNA from 1 species